GGAAAGAAGGAGGGAAGGAAGGAAAGGAAACAUGGAAGGAAGGAAGGAAAGAAGGAAGGAAGGAAAGGAAAGAUGGAAGAAAGGAAGGAAGGAUCAACCAUGAAGCCAAGUAACCAUGUGACCUGGGAUGCCAGCCUCUGGGAUUCCAGCCCGACCUCGGGGACUCAGAAGGAAAGAAGGGCUGGCGUCCGCCUACCAGCCAGAGGACACAGCAGUCCCGGGAGCAGUGCCUAGAAGAAGGCAGGGCACAGGCAGGCAGAGAGCAGAGGGUGGGUUCAGAUGGAGGCCGUGGAGAGGACACUGGACGCUGGCUGUAAAGACGUGUCAGCCCAUGCUCUGUGACCAGCCCCAUAGCAGGCAUCGGGGCCGUGGAGAUGUGGGGUCUAGUCCUAUCUGGAGAAACUCGCAUUUGGGGGAAGAGGAUGUGGAGACAAAUAAUCCAGAGGCAGCUUGGAACAUGCAUAUGCCUGUGCAAGGUUCCUGGGCCAGUCUCCCAAGACAGUGAGUAAUUAGCCGCGAAAGAGUCUUGGAUGUGAAGCCAAAAACAACAGCAGUGUCACAUCAGAUGCUGAGACAUCUCCAGCUAAGAGCUGAGCUCAGCCCCCACCCGCCCCCUCCACCCCCCAGCCGCAGCCACCAGCAGAAGGAAAACAGCCCCGUGCGGCUGAGUUCAACCAGGGCUGCCUUUCUCCACCGUGUCCGCCAUUCUGGUCUCGUGCCGCAGCAGGCAUUGCUAGAUGAUUGCCGUCAUGGCUCAUACUAACAAUAAAUAGGUCCUCCCGGGGACCCACCACCCAAACUCCUUGUGCCGGGAACAGCUACUAAAGGGGAGGCCCUUUCCAUAUUCCGCUUCAUUCUCCCCUCCUGGCGUGCCUCAAGGAACGACCACUGUCCCCAGGUUACAGGUGCUUCUUCACCCCAACAAGGCUCAAUCAAGUGUGUUCUUCUCUGGGAAGCUGCAGACAUCUGACCCCAGGCCACAGAGUCAUACCCAGUCUGGCUCCCACAGCCCUCCCAGGCUGUCUGGUGUCAGUGCAGUGCUGUGGAUGGGAACACACCUCUACCAUGUUGAGCUGCUCUGAGGUUUAAAUGCGUUACUGCUAAUUGGGAUCUUGGAACAACUCCUGGUGCAUAGACACACACAGGACAGACUGGAAUAAAUACUGGUGGUUUAUCACAGGAAGGCUGGCCUCAGCUUGGGAGAGUAAGCGUGCAUGCAUACACAGCCAGCUGAUUUAUUGUGACCCGAGCCAAGCACUGAACAGAGCGAGGCCAUUUAUCUACUUGGUUGGAGGAGAGGUCAAGAGAGAGAAGUCAGAGAUUAAGCUAAAUAGUUCAGUGCCUUUGUUAACUCCCGGGGCGUCUCCUCUGCGCGGCUUGUGUUCCCAGGGAAUACUGUCAUGAGCUCCACAGGGAAGACUGGACUCCUUCUUGGGGAGACAGCCCUGGCCCCAGGGAGCAGCGUGGCCAAGGACAUUCUCAGCCUCUUGGGGUUGCCAAAAGGGAGCAGAAGCAGGAGGAGGGAGGGGGGGAGCUGGGAGGAACACCCCAUCGUGGAAGACCUGCUGCCAAUGCGGGGCUGCAGUCCCAGUCUCUGCCGCCACCAGACCCUGGUCAGGAGACAUCACAGACAGGCUCCCUUCUCCCGCCUUCAUUCAGGGCUCUGCUCAAACAGCCCAUUUGCAAUAGGACUUCCUGCAGUGUCCUAGUUAAAUACCCCAACCCAUGCCCCCAUCGUACGCUAUCCCUUCCCCUGCUUUAUGUUUCUUCAUGGUGCUCAGCACCCUGACAUAUCUAUGUCUGUAUUUGUUUACUUAUUGUUGGGUCUGUUUUUGAAUGAAGUGCUAUGUCUGUGGUGUAAAGUCCAACAUGUGGCAGAUUCUAGGUGCUCAAUAAAUAUCUAUUCAGUGAAUGACGAAUUGUUGCUAAUAGUUUACAACUGCUGAAUAUGUGCCUAGAUAAGCUUUGUAGAUCUCACUGUAUAUAACACCUCAACAGUACCAUGCUGUACAUACUGUCCUUAGGCUCAGAGAGGC
rnacentral:lncRNA from 10 species